rnacentral:rRNA from 1 species
AGUUCGAUCAUGGCUCAGAUUGAACGCUGGCGGGAUGCUUUACAUGCAAGUCGAACGGCAGCACGGACUUCGGUCUGGUGGCGAGUGGCGAACGGGGUGAGUAGUAAUGUAUCGGAACGCCCAGUAGCGGGGGAUAAUCUACGCGAAAGCGUAGGCCAUUACUGCAUACGUCUUUCGGGGGAAAGCGGGGACCCGGGCCCCGCACUAGAGCGGCCGAUAUCGGAUUAGCUUGGGCUGUGGGGCACCGCUCACUAAGGCGACGAUCCGUAGCUGGUUUGAGAGGACGACCAGCCACACUGGGACUGAGACACGGCCCAGACUCCUACGGGAGGCAGCAGGGGGAAUUUUGACAAUGGGGGAAACCCUGAUCCAGCCAUCCCGCGUAAAAGGGGAGGAAGGCCUUCGGGUUGUAAAGCACUUUUGGCAGGAAAGAAACGGCACGGGAUAAUACCCGUGCAACUGACGGUACCUGCAGAAUAAGCACCGGCUAACUACGCCAGCAGCCGCGGUAAUACGUAGGGUGCAAGCGUUAAUCGGAAUUACUGGGCGUAAGCGUGCGCAGGCGGUUCGGAAGGUAUGAAAUCCCAGAGCUUCUAACUUUGGAACUGCAUUUUUAACUACCUAGCUAGAGUGUGUCAGAGGGAGGUGGAAUUCCGCGUAGCAGUGAAAUGCGUAGAUAUGCGGAGGAACACCGAUGGCGAAGGCAGCCUCCUGAUAACACUGACGCUCCAUGCACGAAAGUACAGGGGGAGCAAACAGGAUUAGAUACCCUGGUAGUCCACGCCCUAAACGAUGUCAACUAGCUGUUGGGGGCCUUCGGGCCUUGCAGUUACAGCUAACGGCGUGAAGUUGACCGCCUGGGGAGUACGGUCGUAAAGAUUGGAACUCAAAGGAAUUGACGGACCCGCACAAGCGGUGGAUGAUGUGGAUUAAUUCGAUGCAACGCGAAAAACCUUACCUACCCUUGACAUGUCUGGAAUCCCGAAGAGAUUUGGGAGUGCUCGCAAGAGAACCGAACACAGGUGCUGCAUGGCUGCUGCCAAUGUGUCGUGAGAUGUUGGGUUAAGUCCCGCAACGAGCGGCAACCCUUGUCAUUAGUUGCUACGAAAGGGCACUCUAAUGAGACUGCCGGUGACAAACCGGAGGAAGGUGGGGACACGUCAAGUCCUCAUGGCCCUUAUGGGUAGGGCUUCACACGUCAUACACAAUGGUCGGGACAGAGGGUCGCCAACCCGCGAGGGGGAGCCAAUCCCCAGAAACCCGAUCGUAGUCCGGAUCGCAGUCUGCAACUCGACUGCGUGAAGUCGGAAUCGCCAGUAAUCGCGGAUCAGCAUGUCGCGGUGAAUACGUUCCGGGUCUUGUACACACCGCCCGUCACACCAUGGGGAGUGGGUUUUACCAGAAGUAGUUAGCCUAACCGUAAGGAGGGCGAUGACCACGGUAGGAUUCAUGACUGGGGUGAAGUCGUAACAAGGUAG